UAACUAUUCCCUUUAAAAUAACAUUUUUCCCAUAAAAUAGAAAUACCUACUCGGCUACUCCUUAACCAGCAAGCAACCAGCUAGGCCUAGCUUGUGAAUUUCGUUUUCCGCAAAAAUAUUUUUGUUGUUGCAUUUGCAUUAUUCGAAGGGAAUAAAGAGUUGGCAACCCUGUUGGUUUUCUUCUUAAGUUCUUAGUCAUACUCAGUCUCAAGUCGCAUUAACUAUUCAACCGCUGACAGAAUAUGUUAGAAUUCUGUGCCAGGCUGUUCAUGGUAGAUGAAAAAUGUUGAAAAUUGCAUACUGUAUGCAGAUCAUGAGAUGUACCACACUGUGUGUUAUGGAAGUGCUGGGUAGUGCCCUCUUUGCUAGUACCCAUUGUGUCCUGCAAACAAAGGUGCUGAAACGUGGUUACAAGAUGCAUGACGUGUCUUCCGCGGUGUUUUACUGGAUCGCCCAACUUGGUGUUUGCGUAUAUGCCGGUCGGAGGCCUUCGUGAUUAGUUGACUACUUGGAAAGUCUUUGCAAAGGAUUCCGGUGCUAGAGGAUCUCAUAAAGGUGUUGGUGUUAUUCUGCUGCCCGAUGUUCUCUCGCGAUGCGUAAAUCGAUAUAUCUACCAUGCCUGAUGUAUGAUCGUGUAUUGCGGUUUCGUGGACGUAAAUGUAUGCUAAGACUGCUGUACAUUUAGCCAAAACGUCGUCUCUUCUCUCUUGCUAUACAUGAACAUCUGCUUCGCAACCAACCAAAGAUUAACAGGCAGACGAGAAGCUGAGCUUAUUCGUUGCAGUCCAAUGUGCAUAUGGAUUUGUUGAAGCCGGCCAGUGAAAACUCUGAUAUUGAGCUGUUGCAGUCGUUAGUGCUGGUGUUAUGAUUAUUAUCCUGACGGGUUAAAGAGCUCUAUUCUUCAAGUCUUAUAGGAGUGAUCAUGUCUGAAUCGAUACUGGAUUCUAAUGCAUGUCAUCUUAAAUUUAAUGUUUAGAUUUUCCCUGUUUUAACCUAUUUUACCAGGAUGUAGAAGUUAAGCCUGAAAAAUGCAGACCAGGAGAAGGAUAUUAUAAAUGUGGGAAUUUUAAAAUCUCUUGAAGCCAUUCAGGAUGGUGAUGAUGACUGACAAAGGAGCUGUAACCUACAAGACGUAAACUUAAGGAACUUGUUACCGGAAUUUUCCACAAACGGUAAUUUUUUAAAGGAUUGUUAGUUUUACUUAAAAGGUAUUUAAUGUUUCUUAAAUUAUCCAUUCUCUAAAACAUACCUUUUCUUGUUUGGAAUAUAUAAUCAAUUAAUUGCUUUUGAUUCAUUGAAAUUAUAAUUCCAAAAAGAAGUUUUUUAACUUAGCUAAAAGCAUCUGAAAUAUUCUUGCUGGUUUCUUUGACAAAUAUGUAUGCCUGCAAGUAUAUAAUUUUUUUUAUUUU
rnacentral:lncRNA from 1 species